rnacentral:rRNA from 1 species
UCUUGAUCUCUGCGGCGUAGGAGAUGGCCCGCUUCGGGCCGAUGUUGGGGAUCUCCAGCAACGCCAUGAUGUCGUCGUGCUUGGCGUGUAGUUCUGCCCGCUGGUGGAAGUCCCCGGUCUCCAGGAUUUCCGUGAUUUUGCAGGUGAGUUUCUUCCCUACGCCGACGAUGCUGCUGACAGUCUCUUCCUCGACGUCCUCGUCCAUCUGCUCGAUGGUCCGGGCUGCUCGAUUGUAGGAACCGAUCUUGAACCUGUUGCCCUCCCCGUCCUGCUGGAUGAGGAUGGCGUACUGGCGAAAAAGCUUGGCGAUUCGGUCGUUGAUUGCUGGCAUAGGGCCCUCCUUAUACACCGAUCCCACAACCACGGGGCGUGUGCGUGAAUAGUCGGGU